AUUGAACGCUGGCGGCAGGCUUAACACAUGCAAGUCGAACGAGUGGCGGACGGGUGAGUAAUGCUUGGGAAUCUAGCUUAUGGAGGGGGAUCACUACGGGAAACUGUAGCUAAUACCGCGUACCAUAGGAUGAGCCCAAGUGGGAUUAGGUAGUGGGUGAGGUAAAGGAGCACCAAGCCGACGAUCUCUAGCUGGUCUGAGAGGCUGCCCCGCCACAUUGGGACUGGGACACGGCCCAGACUCCUACGGGAGGCAGCAGUGGGGAAUAGUGCGCAAUGGGGGCAACCUGACGCAGCCAUGCCGCUUGAAGGAAGAAGGCCUUCGGGUUGUAAAGUUCUUUCGGUAGCGAGGCGUUAACUACAGAAGAAGCACCGGCUAACUCCGUGCCAGCAGCCGCGGUAAUUC
rnacentral:rRNA from 1 species